AGUAACUAUGACAUUUUCAGAUAAGGGGUCUCACGUGACCACCCGAGUCUUGGCAGCGUUCCGUAGGUGAACCUGCGGAAGGAUCAUUA
rnacentral:rRNA from 1 species